rnacentral:rRNA from 1 species
UGGGGAAUUUUGGACAAUGGGGGAAACCCUGAUCCAGCCAUCCCGCGUGUGCGAUGAAGGCCUUCGGGUUGUAAAGCACUUUUGGCAGGAACGAAACGUCAUGGGUUAAUACCCCGUGAAACUGACGGUACCUGCAGAAUAAGCACCGGCUAACUACGUGCCAGCAGCCGCGGUAAUACGUAGGGUGCAAGCGUUAAUCGGAAUUACUGGGCGUAAAGCGUGCGCAGGCGGUUCGGAAAGAAAGAUGUGAAAUCCCAGAGCUCAACUUUGGAACUGCAUUUUUAACUACCGGGCUAGAGUGUGUCAGAGGGAGGUGGAAUUCCGCGUGUAGCAGUGAAAUGCGUAGAUAUGCGGAGGAACACCGAUGGCGAAGGCAGCCUCCUGGGAUAACACUGACGCUCAUGCACGAAAGCGUGGGGAGCAAACAGG